CUAAAAAAGGCAUUAAAGACUAAGAAUAGCCAAAGCAAAAGGCCAUUCCAUGGAAAGAAGCCGUUUUUCCAAACAUUGUUGGAGCCUCGAUGGAUGGAAGUGAGACAGGAAAGCCAACUCUGGAGUCUGGGAGUAGGUGCUUUACCUGGUGAUGCCACUUUGUCAACAUGGAAAAUGCCAUCAAAUUGAUGGUCUGCACAUAGCAAGAUUUCCUGUCCCUUUAAAGUCUUGUGGUCUGCGCAGUCGCCUUGAUGCCUGGCUCGCCUGCCUGGAGGAGGAAAGGUCCCUAAGUGUGCUGCUGCCUUCCUGCCCCAGAAUCCUUCAUCUGGCCUGGAGUCAGGAUUUGCCAGUUUCUCUUAAUACAGAUGGAGUGUGCUUUAAGCUUGCAGAUGUGAUUUGCUUUGAACAAUGUUGAUAGACAGACUUAAUGUCAACAAGAGUUUGGGAUGUGCUAGCAAAGUGGAGCUUUUGCAAUGGAAAUUGCAUGCCCCCAUCAGCCUAACAGUUCAAGAAAGAUGGUACUCAUGUGGAGAAAAUUCUGAAUCACCGAGGUGCCAUGGCCAACCAGCAGAUGUAUGAAUAUAAAGAUUUUUAUUUUAAGCCACUGAAUUCUGUUGUGGUUUGUUACCCAUCAUUACUUUAACAAUAGCUGACUGAUAUAACAGCAUAAUCCACAAAUAAAAAAAUUCAGAAACAAAUCUACUACUCA
rnacentral:lncRNA from 1 species